GUUGGGUUGUUUUGCUCAUUGGACCAAUGCUUAACUGUUUCUAGAACCCCAUAUUGAUGGGAAAUUUGAAAUAUGUUGACUAACCUAUAAUCUAUAAUACCUAAAUAGUUCAUCCCCACUAUCUUAUUUCUCUUGACAUGCAGCCUAUCCACAUCAACAGAUCAGCCACAUCAUCGCUCUACAUUCGGCUUACAGGUGGGACCAACCAAAGUUUAUCAGCAUAGAGAACACGGACGAGACUUGCCUGCUCCCCGCGCGUGCGCCCGUCCGUGCUCCCGCGUACGUGGCUUGAUUUGGUUGGAACAAAAUAAGACCCGGCCCCACCCCUUAAAAUCAGGAGGGAAGAUGAUUAUAUUAGAAAGAAAAAGGAAAAAAGACAGCCGUAGAAUGAAGUGGAAGCACGGAUAGGAGCACGCAAGCAAGAUCAGAGAACGCCACCUCAGCGAUCAAUUUAACGUUCGCUCGCCAGCGGUACAGAGUACAGAAGAGGACAACCGCCUCGUGCGUGUACCCACCAUAGAAAAAAAUACCCAACCUUUUCCGCAGUCAUCUUUCCCUCAAAUUUUCCCCACGCCGGUGGUCAGAUCCAGAGGAGCCCUCCUUGGGCCGGCGCCUCCCCACGCCGGUGGUCAGAGCCGGAGGACCCCGCUCAUGUCCUUCAUCUGCUCCGGACCGACGUCGCACCUGCGGCCUCGGACAGAUCAGAUGCGGCCAUCUCGACGGGGCCCCACUUCCAGCGGGAUCGGGAAGGAGCUCGGUGGCCUCCCCCAACCUCCACGCCGCCGCCAUCAACGCAUACAAGAGCCGGAGGAGCUCCCUCAUGCCGUCGUUGUUCUCCGGGUCCUUAUCCAGUCGGCAGCCUCGGACGUGCCUGAUGCGCCCAUCCCCGCCAUGGCCAUAGUUCCAGCGUGACGAGCUGGGCAAGGAGAGGCUCGCCAGCCUCCCCCGCCUCCUAGCCGCCGCCAUUAAGGCCCGGAAGCAAUCCCCCGCGCAGCUGAUUUACCAGGUCACCUCAGCCGUUGUCACGGCGGGCAGGGCUCCCGGCCAGUCUCCGUCAUGGCCGCCGCCACCAAUUUCGGUCCCCGGCCACAGAUUGCAGUUUGGAUCGAAAGGUGCUCGAUUAUUCGCUUCAUAGGACUACUGCUGCUCGGAUUGAUUUCGUUGUUACACAGGUCUUUUGUUAAUCGCGUUUGUCCAGAUUGUUCUUUGAUGUGACUUUCAUAUGCAAAAAGCAUACAAUGCUAAUAUGGAAUAUUGGGCUUUCAAUUUUCAUUGUACUUCUUAUUUCUUCUUCUCAACACAACUUUGCUCAUCCGAGAAAAAAUCACGGAGCCUUGGUUCCAAUAUUAUUUUCUGUUUUGUGUGUUUAUUGUAAGAUUGAUUAUAUCCACUUCUAAUUGGGAUAAUAUGUUGAUCCUAGAGUUUAAACUCUAAAAUUGACAAGGGCGGUGUGUUCAGGAUGUGGUUGAGAGAAUAGUAGUUUGCAGAUACUGGAUUAACUGAUCAGAAAGAGUAUCAUGGAAUUGGAUACGAACUUUUCUGAGGUUCUUGCAACUUAGAUUAGCAAAUCACUUUUACUAUGUACAAAACUGAUCUGUUUCUUCUCAUUUAGGAUAGAUGUAGUAGAAAAGAUGCCAUCAUGCUUCUCCAAUAUACUCCCUCCAUCCCAAAAUAAGUGUCAUUGAUUUAUUACAACUUUGUUGUGUUUUCAGUGCCGUGUGCCGUAUUUUGAUGUGCUAAAAUGUUAUGAAGCUACUAAAUUUAUCAUUUAACAUCCAAGAAAACUUAUGCAUGUUGAUAUCUUCAUUUUACCAUCUUGGGUUGACAGGAAACAAGCUAUCCCCGUGAUUUUUAGCUUUGAUGUGCCCUGACGUUCUAUUAUAAACAUUGCAUGCUGGUUGGUAAACAAAAUUGCUCAAGCAAUUUCGAAGUGAUGUGUUACUUGGUGCAGUCUAAUCUGAACAUUAUUCUUAUUUUUCUUUGUUACUGAAGAUUAUUUCGUACACACACACACACACACGCAACUGUGAAGGUAUAUGUGUUUUUUGUUUUUGGACAAACCAUAUAUACAUGUUUGACUGCUAAUCAUGAUGCCUUGCUUCCUUUCUUUGCUGAAAUUUUACAACAGUGCCUCUACUAACCUCAUUUCAAUUGAUGAGUACACACCUUUUGUUUGUUUUUGUGUGUAUUAAAUAGCAUAGGAAUUUUCUCCCCUGGAACUUUCCAGUUCAGAGAACUGAAUUUGACACGCCAAAUCAUAAGGCAGCAUUCAACAUUACUAAGCAAGGGAACUUCAGAAAAUAUUUUCCUGUCCCUGGUAGAAACAGAACUGAAGAUUACACCCUUCAGGUUAGAUAUGGACACACCAAAUCAGAAGACACCUUUUUUUCUUUUUGGUGAAAUUGCUUCCAAAAUCUUGAUUGCAUUCAUAUCACAAAAUAGUCAAAAUGCUAAGCUAAAUUGUACUACAACAACACCCUAUCUACAACUACAGCUAGCAGCUAAAACAGCUGAGCGCACAUCACAUGGACCUAGCCAAGUAGGUUUGCAGUGCAAGACAGUCUCGACGACAUUGACAGAGCAAAAUUCGUCGUAUUUCUCCCAUCAAUUGUUUUGUUCUGUGAUGGUUCUGAUGCUGAACAGAAAAUAAAUGUAUGCUUGCUGCUCAUUAUCAGGCUAUGAGGCAGACAAAGCAACUACAAAAAAAUGUAUCCUAGCUAUCUUCAUAAUAUGUUGCAGCAGCAAGUCAAGCCAUAGAAAAUAUAUGAAUGCUUGCUGUUAAUUUCAUUGGAGUGCAGGAAUGGUUGACCGAGAGCAGUGUGUAGAUCUAUGAAGGCCAAACCAGGCGUUGGAGUUGAGGGUUUGACACAAUUUGGAUCAAAUUACUGCUAUCUAUCCAACCGAUCUUUCUCUCCUCGGAUCUUGGUAGUUCAUACCUGAGAUUGUUUUCUAUGCCUAAGAAAGUGGAAUGGAGGGAGUAAUGCCUUGAGGUCUUAUUUAUUGUAAUUAUAGUCAAUGUAGUUCCAUUUUCAUAUUGUAGAGAAGAUAUUCGUUGUCUUACCUUUGGCCUGUAGGGAAUGUCAACGGGCUUUACCUAUGGAACACUUAGUUUAUUCUCAGUACUCUAUCAGCAAUCAUUUUUGUUGAAAGUAUAUGUACUGCCAUAGCAACAGUGGUGAGAGUUCAUUGUCUUAACAGGACACUCUUGCAUUGCUAUGGGCUUGGCCUCAGAUCAGAUUGUAUUGAACAUUAUUGCAUUUUAUUGUUAGCAUCCCACGAUCCAUUAAGUUAUUUAGAAAUUAUGACUUAUACUAUGUUCAUUCA